rnacentral:lncRNA from 10 species
GUUGCCAGUAAGAGGUCAAGUUGAGUGACUGACUUGGACACAAAAUUUAAAAUGAUUAAGGGCGAUGAAGUGAUUACUCACCAGUCACUUCCCCAAGGGCCAAGAAUACACUGUGGGGAUGAAAUCAAACAGGGAGAGAUUGUAUCAAUUGAAAAUCUUUGUCUUGAGACUGUUUUGUAUGAUGCCCCUCACAGUAAAGUUAUUGAAAGAGUCAUAUGUGGUUGCUUCUUCCUCAUAGCCUGUCUGCUCUUUGUAAAGAGAUUUUCUUGAAAAUCUUUGUCCCUCAGCAUUUUACUAUGAUGUGUCAGGGUGUGAAUUUAUUUUCUUUUCUCUUUCUAAGGGUUUGUUGAGAAUCUUAGAUGUGUAGAUUAAGAUUUUUUUUCAAAUAUUGAAAGUUUUCAGUCAUUAUUUUUUCAAUUCUUUUUUCUGUUCC